ensembl:lncRNA
CAACAAACACCCCCUCCCAACCACACACACACACACACAGACACCCCCGUAAUUUAAGACUUCCCUCCACCCCAGAGCUUCACUUCUGUAGAAUGGCUGCAAAUCUUCAUUGCAUCCUUGCCAAAGGGAAGUUCUAACAUGCGCUCUGCACCUCAGGAGGCAUUCACUUGGUUAAAACAGAACCAAGAUUUGAAAUGAGACGGGAUUUCCUCCUCGUACCCGGAUAGCAUUCUGGUGCCCCGUAGAUCCUCAUGCCUUUAAAGGCAGCCCGGGGCCCUGGCGGAGGUCGACCCUGUUCUGUCGAAGAAGUGGGCUUUGGGGUGAGAACUCAGUGCGGGCGCCAGGCCUCUUUUGCCCGCCUGUUUGCCCUUUUUCCCUCUGGAGCUCUCGAGAGUCUGGAACUUCAGAGUUGCUCUUGCAAAGGCAGGUCUCAGGAUCUUCUGUGGGGAUCCUCUUGUGUUUUGCUUAUUUACCAUGAGCUUUGGGAGAGGGUGUCCACGUGUACUGAGACCUAGCCCCUUAUAAACGAGGAGACUUUGUGUGUGUGAGAUCUCAAAGCCAGCCUGGGAGAGAGAAUCAGCAUAAGUUAUAUUCAGUUCACAGGUUCCUCUCUUGCCUAGUUCUUGGCCCAGGCAUUACAUCUGAAGAAACCAGUAUAAGGUACACUGCUUUUGUCUGUUUUUUUUUUUUUUUUCUUCUUUUUUAAAAAGUUGUUUCCCUCUACUUCCAGUCUCACACACACACACAAAAAUACCUCACAGAAGAGAGCUUCAGGUUAAGGAAGGACUUGCCCAUCACACUGGCUUAGCUGGUGCAUGUUAGGAAUCUCUGGCUUUGCCCAGGUCAGCCCAGUGGGUCAGUACACUGAAAUCGUAACUAAAGGUCGGCUGGGAAUAGAUCUGAUGGAUACUGGGUGCGAUUGCUGUGUUCAUUUCAUCCUCCUGGUUCCCCCAAGGUGGCAGGAUCUCAAGGCCAAAGUCUGCCCUGUGUGUCACACGCCCAAGGCCAGAGGUCAGUACCCUCUGGUAUUUCAAUGAGAAGAAAGAGGAAGUAAAAGGUUGGCUGGCACUCACCCUCUCAGCCCACGGGGAGGAGCCCUGGGCCUUGCUGCAGGAAGGCGGGGGCCAUCUCACCGCUGCCAGCCCGGCCGGGAACACAGCGGCCGCCGUCUGCUCUCUGCCUCCUCACACCCAGAGUCAGGGACUUGGUGGCUGGGACCUCGGAGGGUGUCCAUGGACCCCAAAGGCACAAGGGACUCACAGGCUAUUCACUGGCCCUGCUCUACUUCUAAGCCAUGUUUUGGCUCAUUUGGUGGCAGUUGCCUGUAAGCAGCACAGAAUUGGCACUGUGGCUUGCGUUUUCCAUUUCUGGUGGAUACUUUGGCCAGAUGUCACUUCAGUCCAGGCUGUGAUGUUUGCUUCCACUGGUUCCUUUUCACAGGCCGAGCCUCUUAAAAUCCUGCCAUGUUUGUGUGCCGUUUUCGUACAAGUGUGGGAGUUUAUGAGGGCUAUGAUGGCUGCUGGUGCUCUUGCAAAGAAUGUGUGCGAGACUUGACCCCAAACUGUUGCUGUCUGCUGCACCUAUUCAAAGUGUCGGCCAGGAAACCACGUGUUUUGUCUUCUCCUUUGUGCCAGGAAUGAGUCCUGAUUUCCCAGUUACUAUCUGAAGUACUAACAGCUUUUAAAAGCUAUAGGAAAAAGAUGAGGAAGAUGUGUCAGCUAGCAUUUGCUCUGAGCCAGAGCUGGACAGAUGUGGGAAAUUUCCAUUGGGCGGAUGAAGAGUUCACUUGGCAGAGAAAUCACUGUCCCCUCCCUGUGUCUCUUCUUUUCCUUUGAUUCAAAAUAUUGUUACUGUAAAAUUAUUCAUAAUUUUACUGUUACUAUAAAAUUAUUCAGAAUAUUGUUACUAUAAAAUUAUUCAAGAUUGUGAUAAAAUUAUUCAAAAUGUUUACUGUUACGGUAAAACUAUUCAAAAUCUCAUGAUAAAACUGCCUUAAUUUGUAGACUAUUAAAGUGAUCUCCAC